GACGAACGCUGGCGGCGUGCUUAACACAUGCAAGUCGAACGAUGAACCCGGAGCUUGCUCCGGUGGAUUAGUGGCGAACGGGUGAGUAACACGUGAGUAACCUGCCCUUGACUCUGGGAUAACUGCGGGAAACUGUAGCUAAUACCGGAUACGACCCUCGGCGGCAUCGCCAGGGGGUGGAAAGAAUUUCGGUCAAGGAUGGACUCGCGGCCUAUCAGAUAGUUGGUGAGGUAACGGCUGACCAAGGCGACGACGGGUAGCCGGCCUGAGAGGGUGACCGGCCACACUGGGACUGAGACACGGCCCAGACUCCUACGGGAGGCAGCAGUGGGGAAUAUUGCACAAUGGGCGCAAGCCUGAUGCAGCGACGCCGCGUGAGGGAUGACGGCCUUCGGGUUGUAAACCUCUUUCAGCAUCGACGAAGCGAAAGUGACGGUAGGUGCAGAAGAAGGACCGGCCAACUACGUGCCAGCCGCCGCGGUAA
rnacentral:rRNA from 1 species